ensembl:lncRNA
GAGAAAGGAAGUGAGUGAAAUUCAGGCGUGUCUCUGUGAUUUAGGUAUAAAGAGUGCUGAGUGUGUAGUCAGGGUCCAGUACAUCAGUAUGGAGAAAGUUGUGUGGCUACUGGCUCUUCUGUGUCUGCAGGUCUGUCUGCUCUCCACAGAGGCCCAACCUGGAACAGACAGACUGACAGCUGCCCAAACCAACCAAGACAUGGAUUCAAGGAUUAAAAGAGGGGGGAAUAACCAGAGUAAAUGCCAGACGAAUCCAAACAUAAGAUGUCGCAACCGCAUUGGAGCGAAAGGUCCUUUGUCAGACCCAGGAGAUUCUCCAGUACUUCCUCCUCAUCAACCUCGUCCAUUUCCUUCAACUCUGGAGUCAAGGAUUAAAAGAGAUGUGAGUGUCCAGAGUGAACGCCAGAAGAAGCUUAACAAACCACGUCCCAACCACCCAGGAUCGACGAGUGCUUUGGGAUUCAUUCCUUCCCCUUCUUUUCAUCUUCCUUGGCCGUUUCCUCCAACUCAGGUCUGUCUGCUCUCCACAGAGGCCCAACCUGGAACAGACAGACUGACAGCUGCCCAAACCAACCAAGACAUGGAUUCAAGGAUUAAAAGAGGGGGGAAUAACCAGAGUAAAUGCCAGAAGAAGCCAAACAUAAGAUGUCGCAACCGCAUUGGAGCGAAUGGUGCUUUGGGAGAAGGACCCCCAGGACCCAACAUCAAUAUUAGUAAAAAAUAAUCAGUACAGCUUACAUGGAAAUACGAAUAAAGGCACCAUUUCACUUUUGCCAUAUUGGGGUCAAUCUAAGAAAUGCCACUAUAUGUCAAGUUGAAUAAUAUCACAAAGGGGAUUUUUUUCACUGCUGUUAUAGGAAGUAUCACUGCCUUCUUCUCACAAAUGAUCCAUAACUAUAAAACAAAAUAAAGGUUGGUUGAACUCAAUGGCGGGUCAUUUUGAUCUUAAGACAGUGGGAGGGUUAAAUAUCCUGAUGAAUAUUAAUCAAUGUUUUUGUGCAUGUCAAGUGAAUCUGGAUAUGUAAGUUCAGAAGGUUUGUAACUUCAGAAGUUCAUUUCUCCAUGACUAUUUUGUGACAACUAUAACAAUGCAGUUGUUACAUUGUGUAAUAUCCUGUGUAUAAAAAUUGUUAUGUGAUGAAAGACAAAACAAACUCCUUAUCUGGUUGGAAUGAACAAUUCUGAUGCAAGCCUGGCAACAUUGCACCAUGGUGUUGAUGAAGUCAUUGAUACACACUGCUCAAAUAAAUGAAGGGAGCUCUGAAAUCACACACCGGGUCUCAAUGAAGGAAAUGGAUUAAACAUCAAAUUCUUUACUGUACAUUGUGUAAUUCAUUGAGAACAAAAUGACCUAACAACGGUCAUUGGAGACCAAAAUCACCAACUGAUUGAGGGCUGGAUUCAAAUUCGCACUGAACAUGGAAGAGAACAUUAGAAAUCACAGGCUGUUCCUGUCAGCACUGAAAGGAACCCAAAUGCAGACCGGAUGAGUGAAGUGCAAAUUCGAGGGCAGGAGUAGGUGCAGGGCAGUCGUGGGCAAGCAGAGGUUCGGUACACGGGCUGGCGGCAGAGGUACAGGCAGGCAGUAGGCAGAGUAGUAGUGGAUGGGCAGGAGGUCGAUACUCGAGCUGGCGGCAGAGGUACAGGCAGGGGGUAAGGCUGAGUAGUCGUAGGCAGGCAGGAGGUCGAUACACGAGGUGGGGAUGGUCUUCAGGUGGGCUCCUAAAGUCACAGGAAGACAAGGUAAGUACAGACUGACUAGUGAAGCAUAUAUCUGGAUUUCGUUUGGCUGGGGCAACGUGACACAUACGAAUGAGGAUCUGGCAGGGACGGGUCGUCAUGGUUCCUCAGAAAUACAGCCGGUGGUGAGCCAAGCGGGAACAGGUGCGUGAUAGGUAAUAGGGAACAGCUGGCACCGCCUCUACUCCAAGGAGUGAUGCCACGCCCCCUAAUUCAUUGCCCCGACAACCGGGAGAAACCAAAACAAGGCACCUCAAGGGGGGGAGGAGGUGACAGUCCCUACACACGCUGGCCACAUGAGGACGGGCAUUGUCCCACACCAGCAGGAACACAGGACCCACUGCACCAGUGUAAGUUCUGACAGUGAGUCUGAUGAUUUCAUCCCGGUACCUAAAAGCAGUCAAGGGACUGUUGGCCAACAUGUGGAGGUCUGUUCAACCCUCCAAGGACAUGUCUCCCCAGACCAUCACUGAUCCACCACCCAACCGGUCGUGCUGGAUGAUGUGUAGAGGUAUUUUCAUAAAAUAUUUUUUUACUCCAGGAAUCACACACUUGAUAAAACAUGUAAACAGGUCACUUGGGCCUGAGGGCCAAUAGGCCAAUACAGUCAGAUUUUUCCACAUUUAAUAGUUGAGAAAGAGAGGCUGACGUACAAUAACCUGCACAGUUUAGAUUUCUCUGUCCGUGAAGAUCAACAGCUGUGCUCUGUCUUUCCCCUUACUGUACUCUUGAGACUAAUGAGCAACAAUAUUAUAUUUCUUGUGGACGAC